GGGGGUGUAGCUCAUUUGGCAGAGCGCGUCAUUAGCAGUUUCUUUCGAAUAAAGCGAUUUGACGAGGUACCGGGUUCAAUUCCCUGCUCCUCCA
rfam:Kwoniella heveanensis BCC8398 unplaced genomic scaffold supercont1.29, whole genome shotgun sequence.